CUGCGACCCAAUUAUUAGGACUUCUGAUACCUAAAAGCCUAAGGGAGCAUGACAUUUAAUGCUGGCACUUCUUGAUAAUCUGUUGGGAAGGACGAGUGGGACUCCAUCUCCUAGGAGGUGUGAUCUCCAUGGCCUCUCAUAAGGCGACAUGUGCUGCAUGAUUAGAGGGAGUGGUUGGAGGCAUUUAAGUCCAGCUCCUCUAUAAAUAGGAUUCUAUUGUGAUUCGC
rnacentral:lncRNA from 1 species